CAGAAAACGGGCUGGAAUGGAAGGCCACCAACAUCUCAGGACCUCUGAAAGUGACAUAAGACAAGUGACAUUAAGUUAAAACUAUAUUUCACGGCGCGACGCCAGAUUUUUUGGAAGCGAAAAGGCUGGAACAGCUGCCAUGGCACUGACAUCGAGUGUUCAUAAACUUCGAGUGGUCGCUACACUUGCAGAUGCCGUUUUCACAGAAGUGUCUAUCAAAUUGAGAGUUCUAAGCGAAAAUAAUAGUCUUAGUACGACCCUAAAAGUAGGUGAUGACAUGGUUAUUUCCUUGCCUGCGUUAAAUCAAAUUCAUUAUCUAAUAACUUUUUUUUUGUAAGUUACUCAAACUUUAUGCUCUUCAGAGAAAAGUCAUACUAUGCAUUUCAUUGAACUAUACAAUAAAUUUGUUACGCAAUUUA